CAUGCGCCUUCUCAGACAGGGGUUCAUCUCUGCACCCCCGUGGGUACAUGCGCCUUCUCAGACAGGGGUUCAUCUCUGCACCCCGUGGGAACAUACGCCUUCUUAGCAGUUCAUCUCUGCACCCCUGGGGGCUGCCUCACAUGUUACAGCUCACUGAGCAUUCAGCAUAUAUAUAUUUUUGUGUUUUGUUUGUUGAGACAGGGUCUCACUCUGUUACCCAGGCUGGAGUGCAGUGGUGCAAUCUCGGCUCACUGCAGCCUUGACUUCCCCAGGCUCAGGUGAUUCUCCCACCUCAACCUCCCACGUAGCUGAGACUACAGCUGUGCACCACCACGCCCGGCUAAUUUUUUGUAUUUUUUUCAUAGAGGUGAGGUUUUACCAUGUUGCCCGGGCUAGUCUUGGACUCCUGGGCUCGAGCAAUCCACCGGCCUCAGCCUCCCCGAUUGCUGGGAUUGCUGGGGGAGGUCACCGCACCCGGCCUCCCGUAUGUCCUAAAAAUCCAGCAAAUGCUAGUUCGCCAGACUAUCAGAUGCAUUCUCUUCCGUGUAAAGUUCCCCAGUAUUUUCCCAUGUCCAAUGUGCUUGUAUUUCCAAUGAAAUGUACCCAGAUCUUGACGGUAGUUAGGCCACAUCUUUUCCUGCUAGAUUUUAGAAUGCAGUAAAAUGUAUUUACAUGAAUGAAAUGUUUUCUCCUACAAAACCACUUUAACAUCAUUUUCAUUAAACAUGUAAUGAAAAGUGCUUGAUGUUUUCUCUGGAGUGAUCAUGACUAAUAAAGUCAAUUCUGGAGCCCAAUUGUCUGGGCUUGAAUCCCAGAUCCACACUUUGCCAUUCACGCGACCUUGAGCAAGCCAGUUGCCCUUUGUGUGCCUCAGUUUCCUCACAUGGAAUGUUAGAUGACGCCAGUGUGUAUUACACCUUAACGUGGCUGCUGCUCGUAUUGACCAGGUGAUAGGCGUAGAAGACCAUGCCUGGUGAAACCUUUGCACUGCGUGUGUGCCAGCUACCUGCAUCAUUAUUCCAGCAGCUGUCCUCGUAACGUCGGGAAACAUUUUACAACCUGCAUUUUAUAAGCAGAAAAAUAUGGCAUUUUCAGGAGGGACACGGGAAUGGCUAUUGAUCAAAAACAGACCAGGGUUUAUCACACUGGCUGCAUAGUAAUCACCUCCCGGAUGAUUAAAAACAGCCUCCCCGGCUCCGUCUCAGAACAGGUGAUACAUAUCUACUGUAAACGCCCCGCAGACAGCUGCCUCCGUCCCAGUGCCGGGUCCUGCCUGGUUCUGAUCCUCUGGAUUUCCUGGGAUAAACAUCCUGAGGAAGAAAAGAAUGGCUCAACAAAGAAAGGAGAAAUGGGUGUUCGGCUCGCCCAGCCUCAGCCAAGGGGCAGAAAACCUCCAAGCUGGAUAGGCUGUCAUGCCCGAUGCCAAGAAAUGGAUAUUUGAAGAAUAGAGUACUAAGCUCAGAGCCAGAACCCCCCAGAUCCCCCUACACACAUGUGCAUACACAGACACACACACACAGACACAUACACACAGAUAUACAUACACACACAGACACAUGAACACAUGAACAAACGCAGAUAUGAACACACAGACAUGCACACAUGUGAACAUGCACAGACAACACACACAUGAACAGACACAUACAUACACAGAAACAUGCACACACAGAGACACAUGGAGAGAAACAUGCAUACAUGUGAACAUGCACAGACAUGAACUGACAUGAACAUAGAGACAUAUACAUAGAAACAUGCACAUAUGAACACACAAACACAGACAUGCACACACAGACACACAGACACUCAUACACAGAUACACAGACAAAUGCACACAUGGACACACAAACACAGACACAUAGAUGCACACAGAUAUAGAGACACAUGCACACAUGAACAAACAGAGAUGAACACACAGAUAUGCACACAUGUGAACACACACAGACAUACAUAGACACAUACACAAAUACACACACACAGAGCACAGACAGACACAUGCACACACAUGAACACACACAGAGACACAAUGCACACAGACACAGGCACAUGCACACACAGAUAUACAUACACAUGCACACACGUGGGCACACGGAGACAUGCACACAGAGACACAGGCACAAACACAGAUAUACACACAGACACAUGCACACACGGGCACACACAUGCACACAGAAACACGUGGACACAUGCACAUGCAUGCACGCUGACAACACAGACAUGCACAUAUGCAGAUACACAGGCACACAGAGGCAAAUGCACGCACACUCAUGCACACACACGGACACACACACAGCCAAGAGCUGUGAAGCCCCUUGCCUUACUCAUCUCUGUAUGGAGAGCCAAGCACAGCCAUGCUCUUAAUAAAUGCUCCGUCAUUUAUUCACUCAUCCCGCAAAUGUUUACUGAACACCAGCUAUGUGUCCGAUCUCUGGGAACACAGGGGUGAACCCUGCCUUUGAGUGAAACUCCUGCCUCUUGGGUGCUUGCAUUCUGCCAGUGGAAGUUGGGCCCCUGUGCUGCGCGGCUUGACUGACAUCUCCCCUGGCUUCAGGGUCUCCUCCACAAAACGCCAGUGUGGGGCCCGAUCAGAGCCUGGGCUGGGGGUGGGGGCAGCCGGGGUUUG
rnacentral:lncRNA from 1 species